UAUUUUCUGUUUCUUUUUCUUUCUUUCUUUGUUUGUUUGUUCCAUCGUGGCUUGCGGUUCCUUCUUUUCAUCUUGCUUUUUUAUUAUUUAUUUAUUUUAUUUCUCAAUCUGUUCUUGAUUCUUGGGUUAUUGUGCUUCCAAUUUCAUUAUUGCGUUUGGUGGAUCAACUCCUGCUGUGCUGUUUCAAAUUUUCGAGUAUUCGUAAGUAAAUGCUUUAAUCAUUCUUUUGGUACAUGGAUUAAUCUCGUGAAACUUUUGUUAUUAGGUGUUAAUCAAGUAGGUCACAACUCCACUUCUGGGAUUAAGUUGUGCUGGGCUUGUGCUGUCUGUUUGGGUAAGUGGUUGAGCAUUGGAAGACUCAAUUUCGGUUUGUUAAAAUUGAGUACCACCGAUUGUGAUUGUAUGAGUUUUUGGAAUUUGGUGAAUCCAUACUAAAAUUAGUUGUUUGAUUACUGAAUUUAGGUUCUUGAAGUCUUGUGGUAGAUUUUGUAUCAGAAAAUACCCAGGUGUGUUAUGAAAAUCUGAGAAAUCAGCAAUUGGUGAAAAGUCAAAAUUGAAAUAGUCGAUACUACACAGUCGUGUAACAAGCGUGUGUGUCACACGGUCUAGGCUGUAUGGGCUACACGUAGGGGUGUGUAAAAUUCAGGUAAAACCGAAAAAAUUCGGUUAACCGACCGAAUUCGGUUAAUCGGUCGGUUAACCGAUUUUUUUCGGUCGAGGGUCGGUUAAUUAUUUUUUAAUUUUUCGGUUAACGGUUAAUUUGGUUCGAAACCGGUCAGUUAACCGAAUUUUUUUGGUUUAACCGAAAAAAUUAAUAAAUAAAAUUAUAAUAUAUAAAUAGGCCCACUAUUCACCUAAACCAAAAUAACCUAAAUUAUAAUAUAAUUAUAAUAUACAAAAAUUAAUUAUAAUAAGUUUGUAUAAUGUAUGAUGAUGUUAAAUUGUAUCUCUAAAUCUGUUAUAUAACCAUGCAUGUGAUUCCAUGGAAAACUGAUGUGUUUUUAAAUUGUUUAAGAAAUCUGUUUUGUAGAGCAUGGACUUCCAUGCCAUUUGUUUCUAUUAUUGUUCAUAAGCAUGUCUUACAUGCUCACCAUUCUGAUUUUAUACAUGCAUGCCAUGACAUAUUGCAUAGGGUUCGGAAUUAUGUUAAAGGAGGAAGAUUCUGUAUUAACAGUUUAAUGAUCUGCGUAUUUAGUGGCUCGAACACAUAUUUUGCUUUGGCAACUGGGUUGCAAUACAGUGGCUUGACCACAUUUAUUUGAUUUGGCAG
rnacentral:lncRNA from 1 species